GCUAAAUCGUGAAUCCCUUUUUUCCCUAUUUCGUGAACCGAUUCGUGAAUCCCUAAUCCGUGAAUCCAUUGAAGAAUCCCUAAUUCAAAAUCCCUCGUUAAAGGGUUUCUGAAUCAUCAAAGGUUUUCCAGAACUAUCGGCUUUGUGGAUGCUGGAAUCAACUUUUCUUUGCAAGUUUUCAAGAAUGCUCAUCUUACUUAGUGGAGGCAGUAAGCAGUUGUUGAAUGCAAGUUAAUUUGGAACCGAAGCACUAUAUCAUCCGGGAUUUUGCAAAGACAACUCUUUCUCAAGAU